UCUGGGCUGUAAACCUCUUUUAUCAAGGAAGAAGAUCUGACGGUACUUGAUGAAUAAGCCACGGCUAAUUCCGUGCCAGCAGCCGCGGUAAUACGGGAGUGGCAAGCGUUAUCCGGAAUUAUUGGGCGUAAAGCGUCCGCAGGCGGCCCAACAAGUCUGCUGUUAAAAAGUGGAGCUUAACUCCAUCAUGGCAGUGGAAACUGUUGGGCUAGAGUGUGGUAGGGGCAGAGGGAAUUCCCGGUGUAGCGGUGAAAUGCGUAGAUAUCGGGAAGAACACCAGUGGCGAAGGCGCUCUGCUGGGCCAUCACUGACGCUCAUGGACGAAAGCCAGGGGAGCGAAAGGGAUUA
rnacentral:rRNA from 1 species